ACACGCAAAUUCUCGCGGUGGGCUUGGUGGCUUUUCUAGUACUGCGAGCCAAUGGCGCUCCGUUGACAGAAGCGACCACCGUCUUGCCAUCAAGCGACACCUCAAGUGAGGAGGAAACGGCGCCCUCUGACCUGCUGACCUCUGCUCAUGUUUGGGACUCGGUUCUGGGUACCGCUAAAGAACACCAGAAAGCUUUUGAUGAUGAAUUCCAAAACAAUGUCAACUUUCAUUUACUGGAGCACUACAAAGCACCUCAGUUUCCAGCAAACUGCCCCAGCUCCAACUUUAGCAAGGAGGCUUGCCUGCACAGGCUGGCCCAAGGUCUGUCCACUUACAUAAUUCUUCUCAAGCACGUGGAGAAGGAAUAUCCCGGCAGUAAAAUUCUGUCUGAGGCCAAACACUACUCUGAACUCCUGCUCUACAAUAUCAAACAAAAGGUUGGCCAGUGUGACAAUUUAGGGA